UACGUAGGGUGCGAGCGUUGUCCGGAAUUAUUGGGCGUAAAGAGCUCGUAGGCGGUUUGUCACGUCUGCUGUGAAAUCCCGAGGCUCAACCUCGGGCCUGCAGUGGGUACGGGCAGACUGGAGUGCGGUAGGGGAGAUUGGAAUUCCUGGUGUAGCGGUGGAAUGCGCAGAUAUCAGGAGGAACACCGGUGGCGAAGGCGCACAUCUGGCCCGAUACUGACGCUGAGGCGCGAAAGCUAGGGGAGCAAACGGG
rnacentral:rRNA from 1 species